GAAGGUGUGUCGUGAGGCAUGCUGGAGGUAUCAGAAGUGCGAAUGCUGACAUAAGUAACGAUAAAGCGGGUGAAAAGCCCGCUCGCCGGAAGACCAAGGGUUCCUGUCCAACGUUAAUCGGGGCAGGGUGAGUCGACCCCUAAGGCGAGGCCGAAAGGCGUAGUCGAUGGGAAACGGGUUAAUAUUCCCGUACUUGGUGUUACUGCGAAGGGGGGACGGAGAAGGCUAUGUUGGCCGGGCGACGGUUGUCCCGGUUUAAGCGUGUAGGUGUGUGUUCCAGGUAAAUCCGGUUCACUUUAACACUGAGGCGUGAUGACGAGGCACUACGGUGCUGAAGUAACAAAUGCCCUGCUUCCAGGAAAAGCCUCUAAGCAUCAGGUAACAUCAAAUCGUACCCCAAACCGACACAGGUGGUCAGGUAGAGAAUACCAAGGCGCUUGAGAGAACUCGGGUGAAGGAACUAGGCAAAAUGGUGCCGUAACUUCGGGAGAAGGCACGCUGACACGUAGGUGAAGUGAUUUACUCACGGAGCUGAAGUCAGUCGAAGAUACCAGCUGGCUGCAACUGUUUAUUAAAAACACAGCACUGUGCAAACACGAAAGUGGACGUAUACGGUGUGACGCCUGCCCGGUGCCGGAAGGUUAAUUGAUGGGGUCAGCGCAAGCGAAGCUCCUGAUCGAAGCCCCGGUAAACGGCGGCCGUAACUAUAACGGUCCUAAGGUAGCGAAAUUCCUUGUCGGGUAAGUUCCGACCUGCACGAAUGGCGUAAUGAUGGCCAGGCUGUCUCCACCCGAGACUCAGUGAAAUUGAACUCGCUGUGAAGAUGCAGUGUACCCGCGGCAAGACGGAAAGACCCCGUGAACCUUUACUAUAGCUUGACACUGAACAUUGAGCCUUGAUGUGUAGGAUAGGUGGGAGGCUUUGAAGUGUGGACGCCAGUCUGCAUGGAGCCGACCUUGAAAUACCACCCUUUAAUGUUUGAUGUUCUAACGUGGACCCGUUACCCGGGUUGCGGACAGUGUCUGGUGGGUAGUUUGACUGGGGCGGUCUCCUCCUAAAGAGUAACGGAGGAGCACGAAGGUUGGCUAAUCCUGGUCGGACAUCAGGAGGUUAGUGCAAUGGCAUAAGCCAGCUUGACUGCGAGCGUGACGGCGCGAGCAGGUGCGAAAGCAGGUCAUAGUGAUCCGGUGGUUCUGAAUGGAAGGGCCAUCGCUCAACGGAUAAAAGGUACUCCGGGGAUAACAGGCUGAUACCGCCCAAGAGUUCAUAUCGACGGCGGUGUUUGGCACCUCGAUGUCGGCUCAUCACAUCCUGGGGCUGAAGUAGGUCCCAAGGGUAUGGCUGUUCGCCAUUUAAAGUGGUACGCGAGCUGGGUUUAGAACGUCGUGAGACAGUUCGGUCCCUAUCUGCCGUGGGCGCUGGAGAACUGAGGGGGGCUGCUCCUAGUACGAGAGGACCGGAGUGGACGCAUCACUGGUGUUCGGGUUGUCAUGCCAAUGGCACUGCCCGGUAGCUAAAUGCGGAAGAGAUAAGUGCUGAAAGCAUCUAAGCACGAAACUUGCCCCGAGAUGAGUUCUCCCUGAGACUUUAGGUCUCCUGAAGGAACGUUGAAGACGACGACGUUGAUAGGCCGGGUGUGUAAGCGCAGCGAUGCGUUGAGCUAACCGGUACUAAUGAACCGUGAGGCUUAACCUUACAACGCCG
rnacentral:rRNA from 1 species